AGUGAACGCUGGCGGUAGGCCUAACACAUGCAAGUCGAACGGCAGCACAGUAAGAGCUUGCUCUUAUGGGUGGCGAGUGGCGGACGGGUGAGGAAUACAUCGGAAUCUACUUUUUCGUGGGGGAUAACGUAGGGAAACUUACGCUAAUACCGCAUACGACCUACGGGUGAAAGCAGGGGAUCUUCGGACCUUGCGCGAUUGAAUGAGCCGAUGUCGGAUUAGCUAGUUGGCGGGGUAAAGGCCCACCAAGGCGACGAUCCGUAGCUGGUCUGAGAGGAUGAUCAGCCACACUGGAACUGAGACACGGUCCAGACUCCUACGGGAGGCAGCAGUGGGGAAUAUUGGACAAUGGGCGCAAGCCUGAUCCGGCCAUACCGCGUGGGUGAAGAAGGCCUUCGGGUUGUAAAGCCCUUUUGUUGGGAAAGAAAAGCAGCAGGUUAAUACCCCGCUGUUCUGACGGUACCCAAAGAAUAAGCACCGGCUAACUUCGUG
rnacentral:rRNA from 1 species